rnacentral:rRNA from 1 species
AAUUGCUAGCUUGCUAAUAAUUCUCUAGUGGCGCACGGGUGAGUAACACGUGAGUAACCUGCCUCAAAGAGGGGGACAACAGUUGGAAACGACUGCUAAUACCGCAUAAGCCCACGGUGCCGCAUGGCACUGCGGGAAAAGGAUUUAUUCGCUUCAGGAUGGACUCGCGUCCAAUUAGCUAGUUGGUGAGGUAACGGCCCACCAAGCCGACGAUCGGUAGCCGACCUGAGAGGGUGAUCGGCCACAUUGGGACUGAGACACGGCCCAAACUCC